CCAAACUUACCGCAGACAUCGAUGGACAGGGGCGGGGGACCCACCGCGGCCACGCGCCGCACCGGGCGACCCGAUCAACGACACGUCACCCUCGGGGUGAAGCCCGCCGCAUACGCCGGCGGGCCGGGCACACCGUGAACCUCAGCCCGAACCCGACAGCUGACCCCGCAGGCGCCGCUUGAGAGGAACA
rfam:Corynebacterium maris DSM 45190, complete genome.